AUUAUGAGGACAUAGCCAAGGCAUUGGGCUAGGGCUUUUUUCCCACCUGGAGCAAACUGUGAAUCAGUUGAUAAUAACCUUUGUGAGUCAUUUAGCAAUGCCAUAAUAGAAUCUAGGUUCUAUCCAAUUAUUACACAACAAGAGAUGAUAAGGAAGAAGAUGCUUGGUAGAGUGCAGGAGCAGGGAGCCAAAGGGGCAAAGUGGAAGGGAAAAUUUUGA
rnacentral:rRNA from 1 species